rnacentral:rRNA from 1 species
GAUGAACGCUGGCGGCGUGCCUAACACAUGCAAGUCGAGCGAUUCUCUUCGGAGAAGAGCGGCGGACGGGUGAGUAACGCGUGGGUAACCUGCCCUGUACACACGGAUAACAUACCGAAAGGUAUGCUAAUACGGGAUAACAUAAGAAAUUCGCAUGUUUUUCUUAUCAAAGCUCCGGCGGUACAGGAUGGACCCGCGUCUGAUUAGCUAGUUGGUGAGGUAACGGCUCACCAAGGCGACGAUCAGUAGCCGACCUGAGAGGGUGAUCGGCCACAUUGGAACUGAGACACGGUCCAAACUCCUACGGGAGGCAGCAGUGGGGAGUAUUGCACAAUGGGCGAAAGCCUGAUGCAGCAACGCCGCGUGAGCGAUGAAGGCCUUCGGGUCGUAAAGCUCUGUCCUCAAGGAAGAUAAUGACGGUACUUGAGGAGGAAGCCCCGGCUAACUACGUGCCAGCAGCCGCCGUAA